CGGCAACAGCUCAAAUUUGAAAUCUGGCUCUUUCAGGGUCCGAGUUGUAAUUUGUAGAGGAUGUUUCGGGUAAGAUCUAGGUCUAAGUUCCUUGGAACAGGACGUCAUAGAGGGUGAGAAUCCCGUACGUGACCGAGGAUCGCACCCAUGUGAAACUCCUUCGAC
rnacentral:rRNA from 1 species